UAAAUAGUCAGAUCGGCUUCGGCUGGUCGCUGUACUUCUUAGAGGGACUGUCAGUGUCUAACUGACGGAAGUUUGAGGCAAUAACAGGUCUGUGAUGCCCUUAGAUGUUCUGGGCCGCACGCGCGCUACACUGACAGAGCCAGCGAGUCUUCAAUCCCUUCACCGGAAGGU
rnacentral:rRNA from 1 species